AAACGCUUGAAGUCAGUCGCGUCGUUCAGAAUUCAACCUGGCCUCGGCUUGGUGUAUUUUCUGUGCGACGGGCCAGCAUCAAUUUUGAUCAUUGGAAAAAGGCCAGAGGAAUGUGGCACCUUCGGGUGUGUUAUAGCCUUUGGUCGCAUACAAUGGUUGGGAUUGAGGAUCUCAGCACGCCUUUAUGGUCGGGGUUCGCCCACGUUCGUGCUUAGGAUGCUGGCGUAAUGGCUUUAAACGA
rnacentral:rRNA from 1 species